CAACCGACUGAGCCACCCAGGCGCCUCCGGUCUGAUCAUUUUUAAGCAGUGACUAUCACAACCAAGGCUGGCAUUUCUUCCCAAAAGGUUACAGAUCCGAGCCAGCAGCCAAGAUGUUGAGAGCAACGAGUGCCAAGCCAAUAGCUCUUCACUACCACCGGAGCCUGUAGGUUGGCAGCACGUCCAGUUUCACCCCACUCCAAAGCUCAGAGUGUGGACUUUACUUCAUGAUCUAGCUGACCGUUGCAUUCCUGGUGUUACCUAGUAGAUGUCAUGGAGCAGAGCUCUCUCCUGGCCAUGAUUCAAGAGGUCCGCUCCUCGGCAGCCGCACCACUGGGGAUCCAGCACUAGAAAGCUCCAGCCUGGGAUCAGCCUUCCAGUGAAAUCUGUAGGCCCAGUCCCCCCUUUUCUGGGGCCUGCCCCUAGUCACAUGGCCUUGGGCCUCCCUAGCCUGCUUUGGCCACCUUGCCUUUGCUCUAUUUUCCAGACCCAGCCACCAUGUCUCAGUCAAGGUGUCUAAUUCUGCAAAAGGCUUGUUCUGAGCCAAUGGGAGGGCCUUAUGCUGGGUGGGACCUCGAGGAAGCGAUGUGACUCCCAUCCUCAGGGAGCCCAUGGUCUGGGGUAGGGGGUAGGGGCCACAGGAGCAUCUACCCAGUGCCGUGAGAAGUGUAGAGAGCUGUUCUGAAUACAGAAAACAGGAAGAGAGGGUUUCACGCUGAGGGAUCUAGGAGGGUGUUGAAGGAUGGUGGGAUUUGAGGCGGAGCUGUAGGCUGCCGGCCCAGCAUGGUGCAGGAAGUGCAUUCGCUAAGUGGGGAGGCAGGUGUGAGGAUGGAAAGGAGAACAGGUCCAAACUGCAGGCUGUUAGGCCUGGAGGGAGAGUCAGGUCUGGGGCAGCAGUGAGGCUUCUAGGUUAGUUAGGGAUUUUUUGGUCGCAACAGAUGGGAACUGAACUUGAACUAACUUAGGCAAAAAGGAUGCCUUAUGUGGAGAAGUGAGAAUCCUUCUUGGCAUGGGAAGGGCCAGGGUGCUGCCGGCCUUCGGGAACAGCUGGCCAGCUACUCAGGCGCUGUCAAGACUCAUCUCUUGAUCCCAUUUCUCUUCAUGUAGGCUUCAUUUUUCUCUUUCAAGGCUGAACCUUUCUACAUGGAAAUACCCUGGAGACUGGACGUACUGGCUCCGCUCAGGUCAGGUUCCCGUCCGUGGAUCCGGCAGCUGGGGUCACGUGGUAGUGGGGCUUUUCCAUUACUGUCUGCAGAAGGUGGCUGAGGAGGCAACGGGAACUGUCCCCUGAGUUUGCGAGCAGAGGAAUAUGACCAGAUCUGACCCCCAUUUUUGGGAUGAGUAGGCAUUAAAGAUGACAAUGUUUUUUUUUCCUUUUAUUCAUAAAAACAAAUUUGCAACAAUUUAUUAAAAAUUGAUACCAUGCAAUAGGGGUACGAGAAAU